rnacentral:rRNA from 1 species
UACAGAGGUCCCGAGCGUUGUUCGGAUUCACUGGGCGUAAAGGGUGCGUAGGUGGCAUGGAAAGUUUGAUGUGAAAGCUCAGGGCUUAACCCUGAAAUGGCAUUGAAUACUGCCGUGCUGGAGGUUUGGAGGGGGGACUGGAAUUCUUGGUGUAGCAGUGAAAUGCGUAGAUAUCAAGAGGAACACCAGUGGCGAAGGCGAGUCCCUGGACAACACCUGACACUGAGGCACGAAGGCCAGGGGAGCAAACGGG